rnacentral:rRNA from 1 species
GACGAACCGUGCGAACGUUAUUCGGAUUCACUGGGCUUAAAGGGCGCGUAGGCGGACGAGCAAGUCCGGGGUGAAAUCUUUCGGCUCAACCGGAGAAGUGCCUUGGAUACUGCUCGCCUUGAGUGAGGUAGGGGCAUGUGGAACUUCCGGUGGAGCGGUGAAAUGCGUUGAUAUCGGAAGGAACGCCGGUGGCGAAAGCGACGUGCUGGCCCUCAACUGACGCUGAGGCGCGAAAGCCAGGGGAGCAAACGGG